rnacentral:rRNA from 1 species
AUUGAACGCUGGCGGCAUGCCUAACACAUGCAAGUCGAGCGGAUGGAUGGAGCUUGCUCCUGGAUUCAGCUACGGACGGGUGAGUAAUGCCUAGGAAUCUGCCUGGUAUUGGAGGAUAACGUCCGGAAACGGGCGCUAAUACCGCAUACGUCCUGAUAGAGAAAGGGGGGGAUCUUCGGACCUCACGCUAUCAGAUGAGCCUAGGUCGGAUUAGCUAGUUGGUGGGGUAAAGGCCUACCAAGGCGACGAUCCGUAACUGGUCUGAGAGGAUGAUCAGUCACACUGGAACUGAGACACGGUCCAGACUCCUACGGGAGGCAGCAGUGGGGAAUAUUGGACAAUGGGCGAAAGCCUGACGCAGCCACGCCGCGUGUGUGAAGAAGGUCUUCGGAUCGUAAAGCACUUUAAGUUGGGAGGAAGGGCAGUAAGUUAAUACCUUGAUGUCUUGACGUUACCAACAGAAUAAGCAACGGCUAACUUCGUG